rnacentral:rRNA from 1 species
UACGAAGGGGGCAAGCGUUGUUCGGAAUUACUGGGCGUAAAGGGCGCGCAGGCGGCUUGUUAAGUCAGAUGUGAAAACUCCAGGCUCAACCUGGAGACGCCACCCGGGACUGCUAUGGCUAGAGUCCGGUAGGGGAUCACGGAAUUCCUGGUGUAGCGGUGAAAUGCGCAGAUAUCAGGAGGAACACCGGUGGCGAAGGCGGUGAUCUGGGCCGGCACUGACGCUGAGGAGCGAAAGCGUGGGUAGCAAACAGG